GUAGGGUGCGAGCGUUAAUCGGAAUUACUGGGCGUAAAGCGUGCGCAGGCGGUUUUGUAAGACAGGCGUGAAAUCCCCGAGCUCAACUUGGGAAUGGCGCUUGUGACUGCAAGGCUAGAGUAUGUCAGAGGGGGGUAGAAUUCCACGUGUAGCAGUGAAAUGCGUAGAGAUGUGGAGGAAUACCGAUGGCGAAGGCAGCCCCCUGGGACGUCACUGACGCUCAUGCACGAAAGCGUGGGGAGCAAACAGGAUUAGAUACCCUGGUAGUCCACGCCCCUAAACGGUGUCAACUAGUUGUUGGGGAUUCAUUUCUUCAGUAACGUAGCUAACGCGUGAAGUUGACCGCCUGGGAGUACGGUCGCAAGAUUA
rnacentral:rRNA from 1 species